UACGGAGGGUGCAAACGUUGCUCGGAACCAUUGGGCGUAAAGCGCACGUAGGCGGCUUUGUAAGUUAGAGGUGAAAGCCUGGAGCUCAACUCCAGAACUGCCUUUGAUACUGCAUGGCUUGAAUCCAGGAGAGGUGAGUGGAAUUCCGAGUGUAGAGGUGAAAUUCGUAGAUAUUCGGAAGAACACCAGUGGCGAAGGCGGCUCACUGGACUGGUAUUGACGCUGAGGUGCGAAAGCGUGGGGAGCAAACAGG
rnacentral:rRNA from 1 species